UAAUUUGCACACUUGCACAAAUAGUGUAGGGGUACACUGCAGUGGGUCAAGAAAACACCAGAAGACGGAUGGCCAGAGACGAAAGAGUCUAAGAUACGACUAAGCUAAGUGAUAGGAAGCCGGUCAAAAUGAUCACUGCCGUACUCGGCAGCCCGUUUACGUCAUAGCUUGACGUAUUGAUGGGAUGAACAACAAUAAAUCUUGGUCAAAGAAUGACAUGCAUGAAGAAUGCGGGAGCAAUAGGCUUUUCACACUGGGAAAAUAAACACUGAUAAGACUGUGGGAAUUAUCAUGAAAAGGUAACAGCCUAAAAGUAACAGCGCCUACAGUGCAGCCGCUAUAGUUUUAUUUAACACAAACUACUCGGGAGAAGGGUGGAGCAGAGAACAGUUUGUAUUGAAUACGUGCAUUUAUUUCAGUAGAUGGCGGUAGCAAUGAAAGUGCCCGUUCAUUCAUGCCAACACUUCAACAAACGGAACGUGUAAUGGAAAGUACAAGCAUAUAAUCAAUGAAAAUAAAUGAGCUUCUGGAAAGUAGAAAAAGAAAAAAUCAAUUUUCAUAUAGAGUGACUUUCCUGGAUGUGUUUAUGGCUGGUCAAAGUCUCGACAAAAACAGAGAUGCAAGUAGCAAAUAGAGAUCCGCUAAUAGAAUCUAGGAGAUACAUUUCCGUGUCACCUUCUCUGCCUGCGAAGAGCCUCUUGGUCGAUAAGGAAGAAAAAUUGGGUCAGAAAUUGAUUUUCCAGAAUAAUUGCUAUUCUCUUCGUCAGGGGGACUCAAGUAUCUUCGAGGCUUUUUCCUAUUACAACGACAGGCUCUCCAAUUUACCGGCUCUGAGGAAAUACAUGAAAGGGCACAACCUUUGGCUUCUGCAAUCGGUAAGGUUGUGGGGCUUUGCAGCAGAUCCGUUUUAUGGGGAGCUCAGUGGGAUUAGCUUGUGGUGUUCUGUAGGUUGUUAAAGUUUGCCCCUUGCGACACAAAACCUGUAACCCAAAAGACACAUACGUUUUUUAUAGUCCUAUAGAAAGCAUGCUGGGCAUAUUUCUUUUGCAGGCUGAGGUUGCGCAGUUUUGCCCAAGAACCUUUUUUGCAGACAUUUUACAGCCUUCACCCCUGUUGCCGACUGCAGCCCGUCGUCAUGCCGCAUGUGUCAUCACCGCUUUGCUCUUCUGUGGUCCUCCAAGCAUCAGCGACCAGGCCAUUUGUAAGGAAGGUGAUUAGUGGACAGAUCUUUACUAAGCCAAAUCUAAUUGCUCAUUGCUUAGCCGGCACCUGGUUUGUCCCUCGUAUGGCCGAUCCUGUCCCUUUGUACCAUCCGGCUAACCACAACAACAGCCAUUUAUCUGAAAUAAUGGCAUGCCACUGGAAACCAGUGAGGCCCAUAUCCCGGAACCAGACAUAGUGGGCACAAAUUUGGAAGCAUUUCAAAGUCUAGCUGAACACUGUCAGACCCCCUUAACUGCUCGAGAAGUAAAAACUUCUUUUCAAACUGCUCGAGACCAAACUAUAAGUAGAAUCACUCGUGUUUGCGUUGAAGCAGUGUGUGUCAUCCAUGCAGCGUGACCGCGGAGCUGCGCUUCAUUACUGCAGAUGUGUGUUGUGUUGCACGUUAUCGGGGAUGUGGAACAGAAGAGGAGUGAUUCUCUCGCCCUCUGUCCUCGUGCAGGGCCACACUCGGCUGCCAUCUGAAGCCCCCCUCGUCUUGCUCCGGUGUGCAAAACCCCAUUGUGGUUUCCCUAAGAUAAGCAGAGUGGGUGAGGAAGAAAGAGAGAGAGAGGGCGGGGGAUGCCUUCGGAGGCGCCAGGGAACACGGCGGAAUUCCCAAAGACACUGGUGCUAAGAGCCUCGUUGCCCUGCUGCCCACCUCCUGCACACACAGGAGAAGGAGAAGUGGAGAUUUAUUUAUGUCACAGUAACCCAAUCUCUUCCCCCGCUGAACUCCUCCGUCUCCCCUGACUGCUCGUGGGAGCGAGGGAGAGUUUGGGAAUGGAGGGAAACUGUGAGGGCUUCUGAUGUUUUGGCAGAACAGAGGUGGACUGUUUUUUUUCUGUUAUUUUAAUCUCAUACAUUAGGGCUGCAGUGGUUUGUAUGAGUCUUCAUACUGCUUAUGUGUCUUUUCACAUAUUUCU
ensembl:lncRNA